AGUCGGAGAUUAAGAGCCGAGGAGCAGAGAAGGGGUGAGGAGCGGGUUGGGGGACCGGGAGCCAGGAGGGGAGUCAGAAGGGGAGGGAAGGGGGUUAGAAGGGGAGCGGAGCCUGAGGGAAAGUCUGGGGCCAGGGAAGGAGGGGCGCAGGGAGUGUCGGCAGGCGCUUGGGAGAGUCCUGGGGAGGGUCCCGGCGCGGGGCGCUCACCGGGCCCAUGACGCACACGAUGCGCUCCCGCAGCAGCCGCGAGUAGAUGUCAUAGGCGCGCUCGCCGCGACCCUGGGGGUAGAAAGAUGGAGGUGAGGGGCCGGGGCAGCCAGCCGAUCCCCACCCAGCCCGGAGCCCCCGAACCGUGUCCCCGCCCGGCCGCCGUACCGUCUGCUCCACCACGAUGGGAAUGAGCGGGAGAGCCCGGGUCGCCGUCGCGUGCAGGCACCGCUGCAGGGCCAGGCCGUUCUGGAGUGUCCGCUGCGGCGGCCGCUGCGCUGGAAAGUGAGCGGCGAGGCGAGGCCCCAGCGCGGGGUACCUGCAUGACGCCACCCGGGCCCCCCCUACCAAUAUUCCGGGCCACAUCCCUCCGCACGCCCCGGUCGGCUUCCGUCCGAUGGCGGAACUACAGCUUCCGGCGUGCUUUGCGCCUGGGAGCUCGCUCGCUAGGCCGCUCACUUCCAGGAGUCUGGGCGGGCGCCAUUAAGGGUGAGGCGGGGAUAGGGACGGAGCCUGAAAGGGAGGAGCCAAUGAAGUAAAUUGAGUGGGCAGGGCUGGAGAAG
rnacentral:lncRNA from 1 species